AUUGAACGCUGGCGGCAGGCCUAACACAUGCAAGUCGAGCGGAUGAAGGGAGCUUGCUCCUGGAUUCAGCGGCGGACGGGUGUGUAAUGCCUAGGAAUCUGCCUGGUGGUGGGGGAUAACGUCCGGAAACGGGCGCUAAUACCGCAUACGUUCUGAGGGAGAAAGUGGGGGAUCUUCGGACCUCACGCUAUCAGAUGAGCCUAGGUCGGAUUAGCUAGUAGGUGGGGUAAAGGCCUACGAAGGCGACGAUCCGUAACUGGUCUGAGAGGGUGAUCAGUCAGACUGGAACUGAGAAUCAGUCCAGACUCCUACGGGAGGCAGCAGCGCGGAAUAUUGGACAAUGGGCGAAAGCCUGAUACAGCAAAGCCGCGUGUGUGAAGAAGGUCUUCGGAUUGGAAAGCAAAUUAAGUUGGGAGGAAGGGCAGUAAGAUAAUACCUUGCUGUUUUGACGUUACCAACAGAAUAAGCACCGGCUAACUUCGUG
rnacentral:rRNA from 1 species